UACGGAGGGUGCAAGCGUUGUCCGGAUUUAUUGGGUUUAAAGGGUGCGUAGGCGGCCCUGUAAGUCAGUGGUGAAAUACUGCAGCUUAACUGUAGCAUUGCCAUUGAUACUGUAGGGCUUGAGUACAGAUGAGGUAGGCGGAAUUGAUGGUGUAGCGGUGAAAUGCAUAGAUACCAUCAAGAACACCGAUUGCGAAGGCAGCUUACUGGCCAUUAUCUGACGCUGAGGCGCGAAAGCGUGGGUAGCAAACAGG
rnacentral:rRNA from 1 species